rnacentral:rRNA from 1 species
UACGUAGGGGGCAAGCGUUAUCCGGAAUUACUGGGUGUAAAGGGAGCGUAGACGGUAAUGUAAGUCUGGAGUGAAAGGCGGGGGCCCAACCCCCGGACUGCUCUGGAAACUAUGUUACUAGAGUGCAGGAGAGGUAAGCGGAAUUCCUAGUGUAGCGGUGAAAUGCGUAGAUAUUAGGAGGGACACCAGUGGCGAAGGCGGCUUACUGGACUGUAACUGACGUUGAGGCUCGAAAGCGUGGGGAGCAAACAGG